GCGCCCAUAGCUCAGUUGGAUAGAGUGUCUGACUACGAAUCAGGAGGUCUGAGGUUCGAAUCCUCAUGGGCGCA
rnacentral:tRNA from 1 species